rnacentral:rRNA from 1 species
UUAGGAAUCUUGGACAAUGGGCGCAAGCCUGAUCCAGCCAUGCCGCGUGAGUGAUGAAGGCCUUAGGGUUGUAAAGCUCUUUCAGCGGGGAAGAUAAUGACGGUACCCGCAGAAGAAGCCCCGGCUAACUUCGUGCCAGCAGCCGCGGUAAUACGAAGGGGGCUAGCGUUGCUCGGAAUCACUGGGCGUAAAGCGCACGUAGGCGGCUUUCUAAGUCAGGGGUGAAAUCCUGGAGCUCAACUCCAGAACUGCCUUUGAUACUGGAGAGCUUGAGUCCGGGAGAGGUGAGUGGAACUCCGAGUGUAGAGGUGAAAUUCGUAGAUAUUCGGAAGAACACCAGUGGCGAAGGCGGCUCACUGGCCCGGUACUGACGCUGAGGUGCGAAAGCGUGGGGAGCAAACA